GUGCACUGUUUUUACUGAGGAGGAUGUCUACAUUAUGUGCAUAUCUCCAUCAUUACAGUGCUAUAUGAGCCUCAGUUUGCAGAAGGGUUGUGCUAAAUAUUGGCAUUUCCCUUUCGAUGGCUGAGAACAUGC